rnacentral:siRNA from 1 species
GAGCCUCGUGAAUCUGGGAGGA